AAAAAGGGUAUCUGUUGUGACAACUUGGACCCAAUAAAGGAAUCACUAUCAAGAGAUUUCAGAUGUACUAUUUUUUUGCAUAUGGAGUUUACCAGUAGCCAAUGUUCUUGGCGUCCCA